CACACCGAACGUCUGAGACGAGGACCGGGAGCUCUCAAUGAAACGGUGAUGCUAUUUAUAAGGCGUCGGGAGAUCGCAAUGUCCUGCUGAUCCGAUACAGCAAUGCAACUCUGAAAUUCUGGAUGAUGCUGUUUCUGCUCUGCCUGGUAAUUGAAGGCUACAUGCUCAAGUACCAUCUUUUAAAGGAUAUUGAUAGUAUGGUCCUGCGGUGCUGCAGUCGUAUACUCUGCCGAUAUUCAGUCUCAGUGAGAUGGAGGUAUUCUCUUGGGAGCAGCUGCAAAAAUCACAGUCCUAGUAUGAAGAUGUGAGAGUGUAGUGACCAUAUAUUAAGUUUUUUUUUCCUAUAUGAAAAACAAAUGACUUCGGCCCUCCCUGGU